UCAUGGACGAGAGUCUGAACCAGCCAAGUAGCGUGCAGGAAGACGGCCCUAUCGGUUGUAAACUGCUUUUAUAAGGGAAUAAAGUGAGUCUCGUGAGGCUUUUUGCAUGUACCUUAUGAAUAAGGACCGGCUAAUUCCGUGCCAGCAGCCGCGGUAAUACGGAGGAUCCGAGCGUUAUCCGGAUUUAUUGGGUUUAAAGGGAGCGUAGAUGGAUGUUUAAGUCAGUUGUGAAAGUUUGCGGCUCAACCGUAAAAUUGCAGUUGAUACUGGAUAUCUUGAGUGCAGUUGAGGCAGGCGGAAUUCGUGGUGUAGCGGUGAAAUGCUUAGAUAUCACGAAGAACUCCGAUUGCGAAGGCAGCCUGCUAAGCUGCAACUGACAUUGAGGCUCGAAAGUGUGGGUAUCAAACAGGAUUAGAUACCCUGGUAGUCCAAGGGCGAAUUC
rnacentral:rRNA from 1 species